AUACGGAGGAUGCGAGCGUUAUCCGGAUUUAUUGGGUUUAAAGGGAGCGUAGGUGGGAUAUUAAGUCAGCUGUGAAAGUUUGGGGCUCAACCUUAAAAUUGCAGUUGAUACUGGUUUCCUUGAGUACGGUAUAGGUGGGCGGAAUUCGUGGUGUAGCGGUGAAAUGCUUAGAUAUCACGAAGAACUCCGAUCGCGAAGGCAGCUCACCGGGCCGGAACUGACACCGAUGCUCGAAAGUGCGGGUAUCAAACAGGAUUAGAUACCCUGGUAGUCCGCACAGUAAACGAUGAAUACUCGCUGUUUGCGAUACACUGUAAGCGGCCAAGCGAAAGCGUUAAGUAUUCCACCUGGGGAGUACGCCGGCAACGGUGAAACUCAAAGGAAUUGACGGGG
rnacentral:rRNA from 1 species